CUACGGGAGGCACCAGUCGCGGAACAUUUACAAUGCACGCAAGUGUGAUAAUGCGAACCAAAGUGCUUAUCAUUUAGAUAAGCUUUUUCUUAGCGUAAAAACCUAGGAGAAUAAGGACUGGGAAAGACUGGUGCCAGCCGCCGCGGUAAUACCAGCAGUUCAAGUUGCAUCCCUUUUUAUUGGGUCUAAAACAUCCGUAGCUUGUCGUUUAAGUCUCUUGUGAAAUCCGAUGUCGCAAGCAUCGGGCUUGCAGGAGAUACUGGGCGACUAGAGAUCGGUAGACGUAAGCAGUACGCCGGAGGUAGUGGUAAAAUACGUUAAUCUUCGGUGGACUAACAAUCAGCGAAGGCAGCUUACGAGGACGAAUCUGACAGUGAGGGAUGAAGGCCAGGGGCGCAAAACGGAUUAGAUACCCGAGUAGUC
rnacentral:rRNA from 1 species